rnacentral:ncRNA from 1 species
GUGAGCCGUAUGCAGGGUGACUUGCACGUACGGUUCUUUGAGGGGUUUUAAAGGUGACUUUAACAUCCAUCUCUAGU